AUUCAAAAUGGCGGAAUCCUCGAGUGACGAUGAACUUAUUAUAGAAUCCAACCUCCUAACAAUAGCUGGAACAGCUGGAGCUAAGCUAAGUACACCUCAGAAAGCAAUAAUUUCUCGAGAAAGAUAAUUCCCAGACAACCUUGCCGGGAAGAAGACUGUCCGUGGAACGUCAGGGCCUGAAGUGCCGACUUGGCAGAAUGAACAUUUGGUUGCUCAAUCUGGGAAACUUAGGUGCGAAGCCUGUAAAGAGACGUUAUCAAAGAAAAAGAGCUCUCUAAAAAAGCAUGUUACUUCGCAAAAGCAUCUAAGGUCUAAAGCUACUCUUGAGAAGGACCAAGCGAAGGAUCAGAACAUUUUAAUGUUUCUUAAAAGAAACUUUUGUCCAAACAUAGCACCAUUCAAGGUUCCACUCUUCCAGAGGAAAUGCGCCUCUAUCGCUACGAGCUGGUAGAGAAAUUGCUCAAAGCUGGGAUCCCUCUUGCAAAAAUUGAUGUUCUUAGACCUUUUCUUGAAAAGUAUGGCCAUCGAUUGACCACUCGAUCCCAUCUAUCAGAGUUCAUCCCUUUAAUAUCAGAGAAAGAGAAGAUGCUGAUAAAGACUGAAAUCUCUGCCUCAAAUGGGUUCUCUGUUAUCUUUUAUGGGAGUACAAGACUUGGCGAGGCCUUAGCUAUCUUAUUAAGAUUAUGUUGAUCAGCAAUAUAAAGUCCAACAGCGACUUGUCAAGAUUGAAGUUUUAACCAAUGAUGAGGUUGCUUCUCUGGUUGAAGAGUUACCAAGCUACUUGGCCGCUGCAGAUGGAGUAGUUUGCUCCACAGAGGAAGAGAAAGUAUCUUGGUGGGCAGAUCAUGUGGAUACUCUUUCUAACUGGUCAGCAGCUACGAAGAAGAUCUUACUUAUCCAACCAAGCUCGGUAGCAGCAGAGAGAGUAUUCAGUCUCCUACAAAAUGCUUUUAGCCGACAGCAGAACAGUGCACUACAGAAGACACUUGACGUGUCUGUGAUGCUCAGAUAUAAUGGCAACAAGGGAGUUUGAAGUGUCUGUGAUGCUCAGAUAUAAUGGCAACAAGGGAGUGUUGCCUCACUAGCCUGCAUGUGCUUUGGCUAUCAGCCAUGUUGUUAUAAAACUCACAUGUUUAAGUUGCACUGUGAACUAAGUCGUUUCGUUUUUUCAUGAAGCCUCUUUAAUUGCAUCAUAAUUUAUAUACAUAUUAUAUUGCAUAUUACAUAUUUAGAUUAAAUGUCCAAUCAAUGUUUUUUUAGUGUUGAAAAGAAUUGUUAAGCAGCAUUCUCUCUGCAACUUUGAAAAAUGUAGUAAGUUUGUUGGCAGAUUUUUACAGGGACAAUUUUUCAAUAAUUCUCAUUCCAUUUUUUGAGCAUCUUUUUGGCAACUUUUGCAAUUUUUGGAGCAACUUUUGGCAACUUUUUUGUAUUUUUGAGCAUCUUUUUAAGAAAUUUGGAGCAUCUUUGGGACAGCCUUACUCUCCCCCCCGUCCGUUUCCCUUGAGCCACUACGCAGACUAACAUUUAGUAUUUACCCAACGACAAGACACAAGAAGAAGUGGUGUGUCAACAUGUUUGAAAACUGGUGUGCUAACAGAGUGAACAAAAUAACCGCAAAGGAGUCAACAAUCUUUUAUAUAAGACUAUCCGAUCUUGAAAACCUCGACAACGCAUGGGAAUCUAUGUCGGCUCCUUCCCUUACUUUCUGGAUCGGAAAAUUCAUCCAAGAAGUUGCAGAUAAACAAGGUAACCGAUACCCCGCUCGAACUUUAUACCAGAUCUUGGCUGGUCUUAUGAUGCACCCAAUGGCCCUGUAAACAUAAGUGGUAGCUGCAAUAUUACUAUUAUUUACUUCUAGUUGUAGGUUCUAUAACCUACCUAUUGUAACUUGAUCAAUUAUUAAGGUGAGGACAAAAUAAAGUGCUGUUUGUGAGUAGUGAAUUAAGUCCGAGGACUGGAACAAAAUUAAUUCAGUUCAGUUCAGUUCAAUUCAGACUGGGACUGGAUUGUUGUCCCUGAACUGAAUUAAUUUUGUUCCAGUCCUAGUACUUCACCCCCAGCUCUUCGCUGCUAAAUUCAAUACCCUCCCCGUCUUUAAGACACUGGACUAGACCAGGUUUCAAGUAUUAUCAUGUAACCAAAUUUAAGUAAUUUGGUUUGCUGGCGUCCUGCUGAAUAAUUAUUGAGGAUGAGAACAGUAUUUUGAGGCCUGGUUCGGCACUGCCUUCAAAGAGGCUGUUUCGCCGAUUCUGGUAAUCUCGUCAAAAACCUAACGCUCAAUUUUGUGUCAGUCUCAAAUAAGUUCAAAAAUUUUGUUCGACUUUUUAUGUGCUAAUAAAUUAUUGCGUGCUAAUACUAAUUAUUCAACAAUUUUCAAAUAUGUGCACUCCCAUACAUUGGGUCGUCUUUUGUAAAAAUCUAGAGCAAUCGCAUUAACAUUGACGGUUCUGAGCGAAAUUGACAACUCGCUCUCUUUAUGAUCUGUUAACGCGCGAGUGACCUAUCGCUUGUCUUCUUUACGCCUGCAACAACUUGAGUCUUUCUAUAGUUCCCCAUUAGGGCCUGUUUACAUGGAGAUGGAAAACAACAAUCAAUCAUAAAUCUGUGUUUACAACACACAAUUCUCUUCCAAUUCCCUUUUAAU